rnacentral:rRNA from 1 species
GACUAACGCUGGCGGCGCGCUUAACACAUGCAAGUCGAACGGAAAGGCCUGCUUUCCCUUGUGGAUUGCGGGUACUCGAGUGGCGAACGGGUGAGUAACACGUGAGUGAUCUGCCCCCAACUUGGGUAUAAGCCUGGGAAACUGGGUCUAAUUCCCGAUAGGACUGCAGGGUGGUGCCUGUGGUGGAAAACGAUUUUCUAGUGGUUGGGGAUGAGCUCGCGGCCUAUCAGCUUGUUGGUGGGGUAAUGGCCUACCAAGGCGGCGACGGGUAGCCGGCCUGGGAGGGUGGACGGCCACAUUGGGACUGAGAUACGGCCCAGACUCCUACGGGAGGCAGCAGUGGGGAGUAUUGCGCAAUGGGCGGAAGCCUGAUGCAGCGACGCCGCGUGGGGGAUGACGGCCUUCGGGUUGUAAACUCCUUUCGACCGCGAGGAAGCCACCUGGUUGGAAGGGUGGUGACGGUAGUGGUAGAAGAAGCACCGGCUAACUACGUG